AUAGGGCGGUACCUUGACGGUACCUNACGAGGAAGCCCCGGCUAACUACGUGCCAGCAGCCGCGGUAAUACGUAGGGGGCAAGCGUUGUCCGGAAUUAUUGGGCGUAAAGNGCGCGCAGGCGGUUCCUUAAGUCUGAUGUGAAAGCCCACGGCUCAACCGUGGAGGGCCAUUGGAAACUGGGGAACUUGAGGACAGAAGAGGAGAGUGGAAUUCCACGUGUAGCGGUGAAAUGCGUAGAUAUGUGGAGGAACACCAGUGGCGAAGGCGACUCUCUGGUCUGUCUCUGACGCUGAGGUGCGAAAGCGUGGGUAGCAAACAGGAUUAGAUACCCUGGUAGUCCACGCNGUAAACGAUGAGUGCUAGGUGUUAGGGGGCUUCCACCCCUUAGUGCUGAAGUUAACGCAUUAAGCACUCCGCCUGGGGAGUACGGCCGCAAGGCUGAAACUCAAAGGAAUUGACGG
rnacentral:rRNA from 1 species